AAUACCGAUUUUGAAAUCUAAAAUGUCUAAGUUAUGAUCCAACAACCAUAAUUGUCUUAACUGCAUUAAUGCGUCAAAUGACUGCAGAGAAUCAUGAUCCAUAUGUAUAACAAUCAUAUAAGUAUGGUGAAUAUAUUGUUUAGUUUCUCCUUCCAAAGAUCUGCCCCAUGGUUGGAAGUUUAGUACCAGCAGUGGAUUGAGAGGAUGAUGAUGAUGUUGGUGAUGGCCUAGUUGUUGGAAAAAGAACAUCCUGAAUGCUA
rnacentral:lncRNA from 1 species